UAACGGCGAGUGAAGCGGCAAUAGCUCAAAUUUGAAAGCUGGCCUUUGGUCCGCAUUGUAAUUUGUAGAGGAUGCUUUUAGGCAGCCGCCGGUCUAAGUUCCUUGGAACAGGACGUCAUAGAGGGUGAGAAUCCCGUAUGUGACCGGCUCAGGCACCUUCUGUAAAGCUCCUUCGACGAGUCGAGUUGUUUGGGAAUGCAGCUCUAAAUGGGAGGUAAAUUUCUUCUAAAGCUAAAUACUGGCGAGAGACCGAUAGCGCACAAGUAGAGUGAUCGAAAGAUGAAAAGUACUUUGGAAAGAGAGUUAAAAAGCACGUGAAAUUGUUGAAAGGGAAGCGCUUGCAAUCAGACUUGGCCUCGGUUGUUCAACCGGUCUUUUGACCGGCCUAUUCAAUCGGGGGCAGGCCAGCAUCAGUUUCGGCGGCCGGAUAAAGGCCUUGGGAAUGUGGCCUCCCCUUCGGGGGAGGUGUUAUAGCCCAGGGUGUAAUACGGUCAGCUGGGACUGAGGUCCGCGCUUCGGCUAGGAUGCUGGCGUAAUGGUUGUAAGCGGCCCGUCUUGAAACACGGACCAAGGAGUCUAACAUCUAUGCGAGUGUUAGGGUGUCAAACCCUUACGCGUAAUGAAAGUGAACGGAGGUGGGAACCCGCAAGGGUGCACCAUCGACCGAUCCUGAUGUCUUCGGAUGGAUUUGAGUAAGAGCAUAGCUGUUGGGACCCGAAAGAUGGUGAACUAUGCCUGAAUAGGGUGAAGCCAGAGGAAACUCUGGUGGAGGCUCGCAGCGGUUCUGACGUGCAAAUCGAUCGUCAAAUUUGGGUAUAGGGGCGAAAGACUAAUCGAACCAU
rnacentral:rRNA from 1 species